ACAACAUUUUUUGGAGAUAUUAACACAUUAAAGGCUGACUUAAAGGGCAAAAUGACUUAUUUUGAGGCAUUGCUUAAAACGGUAGUUUCAUGUUUUGAUAUGUCUGUGAUGGUAUGUUAUAGAGCUUGUCUCUUUCUAACCCAUGCACAAUUUAUUAUAGGAUAUUCUGGUGCCUUUUGAAAUGGCUUAAUGCAAAACUAUGGUUUUGAACUGUGUAUGUGUUUCAUGUUUUAAUGAUGUUCACUUACUGCCCUCAUAUGUCUAGAUAAUACAAGGUGUGGACCUAAGAUCUGAUGUGUGGGUCUCUCUUGUGUUUUCUUCUUUCUCUAGUUGUUUGAGCAGUGAAAGUGUGAUUCAAAGCAGAUGAUUUUAACAGCACCACGAGACAAACAGUUCAGCGGCACAGAGAACAGUGUUCAUGCAAGAUCCUUUGUAAGUGAACUUGGCGCACGUGGCAUUCAACACAGCUGAGUGGGAUACCAAGCAUAAAACGGCACAGAAAAUAGACGCUGAUGAAGAACGGAUGUCCGAGGACCUUGCUGCUCAAAAAAUGAAGAUCUACAGCAUCAUGUCCAGCUCAGCAGAGGGGCCGAGCGAUGUUGGUGUCGUCAUUGAGGGAGUGAAAGUUCUCACCACUCUGGGUACCUUUGCCAGGGCUUGCUGCAUGCUCCUCGGGCUGACUUAUGCACUAAAUCUGGCCUACCCUAAGGAGCUCAGAUAUACAUUUGAAAUCUUCCAGAAGCUCCUUCUGGAGCUGGACUGUUCGAAGCAGUCCCC